ACAGCCACGCCAAUCCGACGGGCCUCCCUCGGCCGCGCGGCCCGGUGUUGCUCCUCAGCCUGGCAUCGCCUGGGCCGUGCUCUUGCGCCGCCGGCAGCUGCCGCGUCUGGACGCGGCUCGCCCUCCACUUGGUUGCCACCCUUCCUCCUCUCUGCCGCGCUCUGCUCUAUGCCUGCCGCACCGCCCGCUCCUCCCUCUCCACCUGCAGCACGGUCCGCUGCCCUCUGCCACCUGCCUGCCCGCCGGCCACCGACCUGCGCUCGCCCGACGCGUUGCCGCUGCCCGCUCUCCCUGCCGUAGUCUCAACCUCCCGCUCUUCCACUCCUCAUCUCCCCUUCCCUUCCCUCCCUGCUUUCCUCCCCAUCACCUACCCCUAUCUGGUUCCUCCCGCGAGCUCGACAGCCUGCGGCCCACGCCGUAAGUCCUCUUCACUCUCACCAUGGUUGCUCCUCCACCGCCUGACGAUCCCCCUCAGCUCCUCGCACACGUCGCCUUCACCGGCUGGGCUACUGCCGUUUCUCCAUCUCGCUCCCACGCUAUGGUGGCGCCAUGCCAGCUCCCUCUGCCCCUCCUUGACCAAGCCUCAACCUAAAUAGAUUAUGAUGAGAAAGAACGAACCUUGAUCUGGUCUGGGACAUACAAAAGAAAGAGCAUUCAGAAGGCGUAACCAGACCUUGAUCUGCUAUGGGAGCGUGAAAAAGGAGCCUUCAGCCAGAGCCAUCCAGACACAAUAUGCAUAUCCAGGAACACUCACAGCUUCUCCCCUGGAAUCUGGGAUCAUAAAUUAGCUACCCUCGGAAUGUAUUUCUUGACAAAUGGUGAAGUAGCGGCUUAGUUCCUGAUGGCACAAACCCAAAACAUGAACAUAGUAACAAUUCAUUUAUUGACUAAUAUGCACAAAUUAAUCAUUAUUGUGUUAUCUAAUAUGAAACUUCAAUGUUAAAUAUUUCCGUUCCCCAACAAUUCAGACUUUAUAAUAAUUUUUCGAUUCUGCAAUCAUUGUUGUUUAGCUACAAACCUGUUGCUAGGCGGUUGCUCUGCACUGCAUACUUCUUGCAUCACUGGUUAAGUGUCAUGUUUUAGAAUUUAGAUACUACACAAAUAUUAGCAUAAUUCCAUUAACUGGUGUAGUUCACUCGAACAAGAUAUUGUGCUACCUUAGACUGAAUAUUGUGCAAUAUGCUCCUUUUAAAUUACUGUCAACUGUGUAUUGUUCACUUCUAAUUUCCAUGUAUACUCAUGUCUAUACCAUUUGCUUGUUGAAAUGGCUUACUGCAGGUUACAUUUUCAGAUGAAUUAUGCAUCUCGAAAAAGAUACCAUUAUUGGCAAUGUGAUGAUGAGUCAAUUGGUUGGAUUGGCUGAUGACUGGAGUUCAAUUUCGCUUAAGAUUACUGAGGCUUAUGAACUCUCAGUUUGCAGCAUGCAUCUGAUGGGACUUUUAAUGUUCAAUCAUUUCAACUGCAACAGUUCAAAGCAGAUGCCUUAAGUUUGGCAAAUAUCUUCUUUGGAAACCACAAGAGAACACUGCAUUAAUAGUUAAGGUCCCCGCUUUGGCUCUAGCGAUCGCUGACGGGUUUUCGCUCUGCUUGGCCGCUGCUGCCGGCGACGCGACGCAAUAAGCAGGCGUUGGCAAGUUGUGCCUGCUGCUGCAGUUCACCGACAAGCGCUUCCAGUCUGUCCACGACCUCAGUCCUCACCAUCGGCGUCGAGUUCGGGGCGGAUGACCACCAUCGAGCUCCAGAUUUGGGACACGGCUAUCAUCCCAUCGUCAUGAGUCAUGACAGGCCAAACAAGGAUGAUGAUGAAUUGGAGAGUAUGAAGAAGGACAAUGACACUAAAGCUCACCUGGACAACGCUUGUCUUUGCACCUACAGCCUUGCUGGCAGCCAAGUCUAUGAUCUGGCAAAGAAUCAUUCAGAUCCAUAACUAGAUCAUACUAAAGAGGGCGGCGUUGGUGCUCUUUUGGUCUACGAUAUCACCAGACUUUCAAUCACCUCGCGAGCUGUCCGGAGGAUGUGAGGCAGCACGCCAACGCCAACAUGACGAUAAUGCUGAUUGGGAACAAAUGUGAUCUGUCUCACAGGCGUGCAAUGAGCUACGACGAAGGCGUGCAGUUUGCAAACGAACAUGGCCUGAUCUUCAUGGAGGCAUCUGCAAAAACCGCACAGAACAUCGAGGAGGUCAUGCUUGGUUCUGGUGUGUUGGACAUAUGUGCAGUUAAGAACAUUCAAAAUUUUCUCAUCUGGAUAUUUAAACGAAGGCAUUUGUUAAGACUGCUGCAGCAAUCUACAAGAAAAUUUCAUUACUUUUCCUCUGCUUAGGAAAAAACAUAAUGAGCCCCUUCGAUGUUACUUUAAGCAUCAUUUACGCAUAUACUCAUGUACCUUCUGACUUCUGUCCCAUGUUUACUACAUAUGGAUUGAAAUCUUACGAGGUCCAUCGAAGCAUAA